CGCCUGCANUGUNUGACAAUUUAUCAACGGGGGGGGGUCGCGAGGCAAUUUGUGUUUGGNCNAUUNAUUGUUUACUUUGAGGUAGGAGUACUUCCCGGGCCUCUAAUCUUUUACAUUUAUGCCCGGAAAAAGAGAGAAGGAUUAGCCCGCUCCUNUAANUUUAAGAAUAAGGGGGAGAAAANGAAAAUUUACAAGGUUUUCGCUUAGUANCUCGGAGUGAAGCGGGAAAAGGUUUAAAUUUAAAUUCUGGCCGGUUUCCACGUUUCGAGUUGUAAUCUAGAAAAGUGUUAACCAUGCCUGGACCGUGUCCAAGUCUCCUUGGAAUAGAGCGUUCAUAGUGGGUGAGAAUACCCGUUUUUGCCNCGGNUUCCCAGUGCAUUGUGAUGCGCUCUCAACGAGUCGAGUUGUUCAGGAAUGCAGCUCAAAAUGGGUGGUAANCNCCAUCUAAAGCUAAAUAUUGGCGAGAGACCGAUAGCGAACAAGUACCGUGAGGGAAAGAUGAAAAGAACUUUGGAAAGAGAGUUAAACAGUACGUGAAAUUGUUGAAAGGGAAACGCUUGAAGUCAGUCGCGNUCGCUGGGGAUCAACCUUCUCUCGAGUUGGUGUACUUCCCAGUUGACGGGUCAGCAUCGAUUUUGACUGUUGGAUAAAAGCUGGAGGAAUGUGGCAUCUCCGGAUGUGUUAUAGCCUCUUGUUGCAUACAACAGUUGGGAUCGAGGAACUCAGCACGCCGCAAGGCCGGGGUUUUACCCACGUACGUGCUUAGGAUGCUGGCAUAA
rnacentral:rRNA from 1 species